CCGUCCUGGUAAUGACCAGCUGCGGAGGGUUCAGAAAGCCAGCUGACCACACGAGGUUUGCAUUUUUUCCAUCCAAAAAAAAACUAUCCCUUGCAAAAAGGAUUUUACACUGAGAAAUCUGUUCAGGAAAAUCAAACAACACAUCAAUAGAGAUUGGACAACAUAUGCAAUAUUCCACAACUUCCCUCACCUCUGCAAAGAAGGCAGAAACAUGGAUCUUCUCAACUCUUCUCUGAGGCCAAGUUCUUUGCUACCACAAAAAGUGCUGCUUAACAAUGGGAUCUCUGGUGAAAAGGAAUAGCCAUUUUAAGCCACAAUCGUUUCAGAUUGCUUUCCAAAAUGGAAUGGUUCCUAACUCCACAACCAGUGUAUUCUUGUGCCUGUCCACAGUCUCUUCAACAUUGAGGAUCAGAAGUUUCGAGAUGGAAGGAAACUUUAAGGCCAUCUGGUCUAACACCCUCAUUUUGCAGUGGCAAAGAAUUGGAGAUUGAGGAGACGUU